rnacentral:rRNA from 1 species
UGGGGAAUUUUGGACAAUGGGCGCAAGCCUGAUCCAGCCAUUCCGCGUGCAGGAUGAAGGCCCUCGGGUUGUAAACUGCUUUUGUACGGAACGAAAAGGCUUUCUUUAAUACAGAGAGCUCAUGACGGUACCGUAAGAAUAAGCACCGGCUAACUACGUGCCAGCAGCCGCGGUAAUACGUAGGGUGCAAGCGUUAAUCGGAAUUACUGGGCGUAAAGCGUGCGCAGGCGGUGAUGUAAGACAGAUGUGAAAUCCCCGGGCUCAACCUGGGAACUGCAUUUGUGACUGCAUCGCUGGAGUGCGGCAGAGGGGGGAUGGAAUUCCGCGUGUAGCAGUGAAAUGCGUAGAUAUGCGGAGGAACACCGAUGGCGAAGGCAAUCCCCUGGGCCUGCACUGACGCUCAUGCACGAAAGCGUGGGGAGCAAACAGGAUUAGAUACCCUGGUAGUCCACGCCCUAAACGAUGUCAACUGGUUGUUGGGUCUUCACUGACUCAGUAACGAAGCUAACGCGUGAAGUUGACCGCCUGGGGAGUACGGCCGCAAGGUUGAAACUCAAAUGAAUUGAC